AGAAGCACCGGCUAACUCCGGGCCAGCAGCCGCGGUAAUACGGAGGGUGCGAGCGUUAAUCGGAAUUACUGGGCGUAAAGCGCACGCAGGCGGUCUGUUAAGCUAGAUGUGAAAGCCCCGCGCUCAACGUGGGAGGGUCAUUUAGAACUGGCAGACUAGAGUCUUGGAGAGGGGAGUGGAAUUCCAGGUGUAGCGGUGAAAUGCGUAGAGAUCUGGAGGAACAUCAAUGGCGAAGGCAACUCCCUGGCCAAAGACUGACGCUCAUGUGCGAAAGUGUGGGUAGCGAACAGGAUUAGAUACCCUGGUAGUCCACACCGUAAACGCUGUCUACUAGCUGUUUGUGGAUUUAAUCCGUGAGUAGCGAAGCUAACGCGAUAAGUAGACCGCCUGGGGAGUACGGCCGCAAGGUUAAAACUCAAAUGAAUUGACGGGG
rnacentral:rRNA from 1 species